rnacentral:tRNA from 1 species
CGGCCGUGCGGACGUUGUCGACGGCCUUCUGGAGGUCGUCGACGGCCUUGUUGACGUCGGUGUCGUCGGUGCGGUCGCCGAUGCGGUCGA